GAUGAAGAACGCAGCGAAAUGCGAUAAGUAGUGUGAAUUGCAGAAUUCAGUGAAUCAUCGAAUCUUUGAACGCACAUUGCGCCCCUUGGUAUCCCGAGGGGCAUGCCUGUUCGAGCGACAUUUCACCACUCAAGCCUGGCUUGGUGUUGGGCGACGUCCCCUUUGGGGACGCGCCUCGAAACGCUCGGCGGCGUGGCACCGGCUUUAAGCGUAGCAGAAUCUUUCGCUUUGGAAGUCGGGGCCCCGUCUGCCGGAAGACCUACUCGCAAGGUUGACCUCGGAUCAGGCAGGGAUACCCGCUGAACUUAAGCAUAUCAAUAAGCGGAGGA
rnacentral:misc_RNA from 1 species